GCCCCGGAGGUCGGCUCGUGACGUCUACGUAGGACCCGCCGGCUCUCCGCGAGUUCUCGCGAGAGUUUGUCUGCCAAGGACUAAGUGCGGCGAGCUGCUUUUUUGUUUUUUCAGUGAGUGUGUGCUUGUAGCUUUAAUUGGUUCCUUUGGCUGGAAGGUGGGGCCUCACCGGGCAACGAAACUGGUACCGAGGCUGAGCAGACACUCUCUGCGUAGGAUCAUCAUGCCGAGCAUAAACUGGACUUUCCCACUUGCCUGGCAGGAGUGAGACAGAUCACUGUCUGCUAAAUGAGCAUCUGAGUUUCCCAAGGUCACUUGUGGUUUGGAAGCAGAUGAUCCUCCUUCUGACAAAUUAUCAGAAGGUCAAUAGUAGCCUAAUGCUAAAUCAUAAUGCCUACAUCAUUCACCUCACUUCAUCUCAUUAUGUAGGAUUGUAUCAUCUCAUAUCAUCACAAGAAGGAUGUCCUUGGCGUGUGCACCCUUGUGGAAUCCGGUUCAUCUCCAAUCUGUCAAGAAGCAUCAGAGGUGGUUUUGAUUCCUUAUGUCCUGAGCCUGUGCACAAAAUGUUGAUUCUCAAAUGGAAGCAAACAUCUGGAAUUAGCUAAAAGAAUCAACUAGAAGCUUUGUUGAACAGAGAUUCCUGGGCUCCAUCCAACAUUCUUGAUUCAAGAAAGGGGAAAUAACAUAUUUUUGUGCUGAGGGGAAUAAACCAAAAGAAAAAAAAUGAUGGUGGAGAAGAAAGAGGAGAAUUUCUGGAAUAAUAUCCUUGAGAAGACCUUGUGUGGAAGAAAAUGAGAUCCCGAGUGAAGUCUACAAUGUCAUUGACUCUGAAGAAGGACUCAGAGACCCAUUGGUGUUUAAUGACCCUUACUGGCCUAUGCAAUGGGAACUGGUAUGAUCUUCAGAAAUAGAUGGUUCUUUGGCAAUGUUAAGAAAUAUUAUUUUUGUCAUAUUUUAAUGCAGUAGACAGACACUUUUAUGCACUGCCUGCUUUUAUCUAUUGGUUUUGCAGAGAGAGACUUAGCAAACUUUUGAUGAAAUAUUACUGCCAGCUUAUUAAUGAGUACUAAUCCUUUUAAUUUGAUUACAUCCUUAGGGUUUGAUUUGUUCUAUAAAAGAUACCAGUUUAAAAAAAAAAAAAACUAAGACAUUUAAAUUUGCUGUAUGUAAACAGACUCAUUACACAGAAAUGUUGUUGCCAUCCAGGCUUAAAGUUCUUGUUCUUGCAUAACCAGAAUAUAUUCUAUAUUACAUCAAUAAUGAGAGAAUUCCUCUCUGUCUUUAUGGAUUAAGUAGACAUUAGAACAUUGCACAACAAACUUUUUUUUUCAUAAUGCUUCUAGUGUUGGACGUUUUAGAACCACAUUGUCCUGUCAUUUAUACAUGAUUGUGAUAAUAGAAAGGAUUUGAAAUGAAAAAAAAAUCACACAUAUUUUUUGAAUGUAAAUAACUAAAAAAAAUUUGAAGUACAUACCACUGAAGAUUUUAAAAGGAAAUAUUUGGAAUGUGAGAUGACUUGGUGAAAAUAUCAGAGAAAUUGAAGACCUUCUUAUAUCCAUACUUAGCUCCUCAUAGGUCUAUAAAUAAUAUGGUGUUGUAGAGGGUCUCAUGCUGUAAAAUGAGAAAAAGGCUAAAUGCAUUUCAUCACAUUCAUGGAUAUAAUGAGGUGAAAGAUGGGAAACUGUUGUGGUGGCUGUUUUUUGUGUUGAUCAUUGGUAGUUACCAAGAUGACUAUCUGGAAAGAGUACAAAACCAAUAUUAGAAGAAGUCCAG